rnacentral:rRNA from 1 species
GCGUUGGGCGGGAAGGGCUUACCUGCAAGUCGAGCGGAGUGAUGGUGCUUGCACUAUCACUUAGCGGCGGACGGGUGAGUAAUGCUUAGGAAUCUGCCUAUUAGUGGGGGACAACAUUUCGAAAGGAAUGCUAAUACCGCAUACGUCCUACGGGAGAAAGCAGGGGAUCUUCGGACCUUGCGCUAAUAGAUGAGCCUAAGUCGGAUUAGCUAGUUGGUGGGGUAAAGGCCUACCAAGGCGACGAUCUGUAGCGGGUCUGAGAGGAUGAUCCGCCACACUGGGACUGAGACACGGCCCAGACUCCUACGGGAGGCAGCAGUGGGGAAUAUUGGACAAUGGGCGCAAGCCUGAUCCAGCCAUGCCGCGUGUGUGAAGAAGGCCUUAUGGUUGUAAAGCACUUUAAGCGAGGAGGAGGCUACUGAAGUUAAUACCUUCAGAUAGUGGACGUUACUCGCAGAAUAAGCACCGGCUAACUCUGUGCCAGCAGCCGCGGUAAUACAGAGGGUGCAAGCGUUAAUCGGAUUUACUGGGCGUAAAGCGCGCGUAGGCGGCUAAUUAAGUCAAAUGUGAAAUCCCCGAGCUUAACUUGGGAAUUGCAUUCGAUACUGGUUAGCUAGAGUGUGGGAGAGGAUGGUAGAAUUCCAGGUGUAGCGGUGAAAUGCGUAGAGAUCUGGAGGAAUACCGAUGGCGAAGGCAGCCAUCUGGCCUAACACUGACGCUGAGGUGCGAAAGCAUGGGGAGCAAACAGGAUUAGAUACCCUGGUAGUCCAUGCCGUAAACGAUGUCUACUAGCCGUUGGGGCCUUUGAGGCUUUAGUGGCGCAGCUAACGCGAUAAGUAGACCGCCUGGGGAGUACGGUCGCAAGACUAAAACUCAAAUGAAUUGACGGGGGCCCGCACAAGCGGUGGAGCAUGUGGUUUAAUUCGAUGCAACGCGAAGAACCUUACCUGGCCUUGACAUAGUAAGAACUUUCCAGAGAUGGAUUGGUGCCUUCGGGAACUUACAUACAGGUGCUGCAUGGCUGUCGUCAGCUCGUGUCGUGAGAUGUUGGGUUAAGUCCCGCAACGAGCGCAACCCUUUUCCUUAUUUGCCAGCGAGUAAUGUCGGGAACUUUAAGGAUACUGCCAGUGACAAACUGGAGGAAGGCGGGGACGACGUCAAGUCAUCAUGGCCCUUACGGCCAGGGCUACACACGUGCUACAAUGGUCGGUACAAAGGGUUGCUACCUAGCGAUAGGAUGCUAAUCUCAAAAAGCCGAUCGUAGUCCGGAUUGGAGUCUGCAACUCGACUCCAUGAAGUCGGAAUCGCUAGUAAUCGCGGAUCAGAAUGCCGCGGUGAAUACGUUCCCGGGCCUUGUACACACCGCCCGUCACACCAUGGGAGUUUGUUGCACCAGAAGUAGGUAGUCUAACCGCAAGGAGGACGCUACCACGGGGGGUUCCCA